rnacentral:tRNA from 1 species
GGAGUUGUAGCUCAGUGGUAGAGUGCUUGCCUUGCAUGUGUGAAGUACUGUUUGAUUCUCAGCACCA